GUGGGGAAUAUUGGACAAUGGGCGAAAGCCUGAUCCAGCCAUGCCGCGUGUGUGAAGAAGGUCUUCGGAUUGUAAAGCACUUUAAGUUGGGAGGAAGGGCAGUAAGUUAAUACCUUGCUGUUUUGACGUUACCAACAGAAUAAGCACCGGCUAACUUCGUGCCAGCAGCCGCGGUAAUACGAAGGGUGCAAGCGUUAAUCGGAAUUACUGGGCGUAAAGCGCGCGUAGGUGGUUCAGCAAGUUGGAGGUGAAAUCCCCGGGCUCAACCUGGGAACUGCCGCCAAAACUACUUAGCUAGAGUACGGUAGAGGGUAGUGGAAUUUCCUGUGUAGCGGUGAAAUGCGUAGAUAUAGGAAGGAACACCAGUGGCGAAGGCGACUACCUGGACUGAUACUGACACUGAGGUGCGAAAGCGUGGGGAGCAAACAGGAUUAGAAACCCUAGUAGUCC
rnacentral:rRNA from 1 species